GGAUAUUUGGUUCAGUACAUUUGAAACCAACAAACUGACCAUGACUGCAAGGCAGAAGAGAAAUUUACUGACAGAAGAUUGGGUACCCAGAGAACUACCAGGUGGUUCUAGACCCAGUCUAGGAAUCCAGUGCUGUGUGAUUCUCCACAAGCAGCGAUGCUUAGAGGACAACUGGAUGCCAACGUUGCCAGGCUGUCUCCCUGCCACACCCAACCACCUACCUGAUAGACCUUACUUAUUAGAAUUCCUUCCUCCACUCCUGAAUACAAGCCCCUUUUCCUUCCUGAGGAAUGAGUCUGGGCUGUGUGUGUUUGUCAACCUAUUCAUCAGUGAAAUGUCUCUAAAUUGGUCUUUUUUUUUUUAACAAAUAUUUUCUGGUCAGUUCUGAAAAUACUUUAGAUGGGCUUUUCUAUGAACUUGCUUUAUACAGGUUCUUCUAUGAACCAAAGCAAUUUCCAGAUAUCCAAUUCCCUCAUGAAUCUUUGAUUGAAUCUGGGGUAAAUUUCCAGUCUUAUUCCUUUCACACUUACAGUCUUUAGAUUAGGGCUCAUUUUCACAGCAUGGGGGAUAAUCUGUAUAUAGAUGAGUCACUUUGGAAAGGAGUUAUAUGUUGUCAUUUCAACUAUACCAAUAUGAGAGGACACUAUCAGCAAAGGACUUAUCCAUGACAUUCUCCCCUCUGUUACCACAGCACCAUGCAUAUUUCUUUAUUGUAGUAUUUUGCAUAAUUUUGCUUUGUAAUUUUUGGUAUAAAUAGAAUUGUAAACUCCUUGAAAGUAGUGAUUUAUUUCCAUAAUGUGUGGCACAUAGUUGAUACAUAAUGAAUUCUUGUUAAAGGAAUAGAUGAAAAUCAAAACAGCAUAGAAGUACAAAAUCAGAUCCAUAUGAUUAAAACUACAAGUCCUCCCAAAUAAAAAAAACAAAG